CCGGCUCCCGGCUCCGGGAAAGACCUUCUGUUCUCUGCCGGCGCGGAGGGCCGCAGGAACCAGGCCUCUCGCCUCCCCACCAGCUAGGCAGGGAGCGCCCAUCUCCUGAAAAAUUACUUCCUGGGAAGCGGUGCGGGGAGACAGCUUCAAUUGCUUUCGGUUGGUGAAAAACGAAUUCGCUUCUCAGAUUGCUCUCCUAGCUGCCAGGCUCUGACGUUGAGAGGCCGGCUUUCAGCCUCGCGCUGGACCUUCCACAAGUGUUUGCACAUGACCUGGAAGACAGUCAGAGGCAGAAGUCCCUGCAAAUGCUCCUGGCUACUUCCUGCAGGCAGCUCAUGCUGCUGCAGCAGAAGACUUUCCUAUGUCUAGCUGCCAGUAUUCUGGGUGCUGGGGGCAUCCUGUUCCUAGGAUCACAGCCAUGGUGGUAUGUUCUAGAACUCAGAAAUUUACCAAAUCACUGGAUGGACCAGAGGAGUGAGCUCCAGGUUGGGUUUCCAGAAGGGACUCCCAGAACUCUUCCACCAUACAGGCCUCUCAGGGAGCUGCUCCCUCUGCCAUGGUCAGUGAGAGGGGGAAGCAGGAGCCGCCAUUGGGGUUGUUGAGUUCGUGGCUGCAACCCAGGGAUGAGGAAGCUGCUGCUACACACCCAUGAAGCUGAUGCCUGGACAUAAAUCCCUACUGAUAAGUGUUUACGACAUUUCCAGCGUGGUGCCGACACUGCAUGGAAAUGCUGCAUGGAAAGUCCUUAUACAUCUAUCUUUGUGCAUUUAAGCACUGGAACAGAAACGAAGAAGAUUCAUGACUCAGCUGAAGAGAAGUGAAAAGUGUGAGCACCUACUAUGAGUAAAACCUGGGCUGGUGGCUGGAGAAACAUGAAGAUGAGUAAGAGCCAAUUCCUGUUCUUGGGGAUUUAAUAAUAUAUUCAAGGGAAAAGACACAAAAUAACCAUUUCCAGGUAAACUCUGGUGGGGAGGGUGGGAGGAGAACCGUGGUUUGCUUUUGUGCCCAACACUUCACAUUCCUUACCUCUUUCUCCCCACCGAGACCUUGAGGAGCAGCCUGAGCCAGAGGACCAGCAUCCUCAUCUUCUCUCCACCUCUUACUAGGGGGGUGGCUUUGGGCCAGUUUCUUACAUUCUUUGGGCCACUUUAGUUUCCUUAUUGAAAAAUGGGGAUAAUAAUAGUGGCUACAUCUCAGUGUGAUUCUGAGGAAACCAGAAUUGUACAUGCAGAGCACAUGCACAGAACAGUGCCUGGCACAGUCAGUAAUUGAUCAAUGUGCGCUAUUGUUGUUGUGUAUAUUAGUUCUCCCCUGAUACAGAUGAGAGCUAUCUCUAACUCAGAGACUUGCCACAUCAUUAAAUUAGGAGUGAGAACUGAGCCUGGAUAAGGAAGAGGAACAGGAAUUCAACACAGUGAACACAGCAGGAAAGGCUUGUGCGAAGGCUCUGGGCUGGAGAUGUGUAAAGCAUGUCUGGAGAUGGGGAAGGUCCAUUGGGCCAGGAAACCACAGGCUCUGCUCUCCUGGAGCAGAAGCACAGCGAAAUCACAGCCGAGCAGAGGAGGGCAAGGGAGAGGGCCGCCCCAGUCUGAGAGCUGCAGGGUCUGGCUGGAACUGCUCCCGGCCAGCGGACUUCACCCGGGCGCGGGGGCCGCACCUGCCGGGCGCGGCCUGCUCUAUGGCGCCCUCUGCUGUUAGUCCGCCCCAGGCUCCGCGCCGGCCUCUCCUGGGUCCGUGGGGCCUGCGGGCUGCGGGGAUCACCGAGACCCACAUUCCCGUGGCCAGCAGCCUUUCGCUCUGCUCAGAGGAGAGGCAGAAGGGCAUAUUGCUGUUUCCCAGUCGCUUUUUACACCUGCCUUCUUCGGAUAAACCCAAAAAUCUUCCUUCAGAGAAGACGGCCCGUAUUUCCCGUUAUUUGGGGGUGGAGGUGGGGCUAAGGGCGUCAUAGGGAGAGCCUUACUUUCAACAUUCUGCAUUAUGAAACCAAGGGAGACUUUUUUUCCCAACAAGUGUGAACAUUUUUUUUCAAGAGAAUUAAAUCGUUUA
rnacentral:lncRNA from 1 species